rnacentral:lncRNA from 1 species
CUUUUUAUUUUAAUACAUUUUAAAUAUAUCACAAUUGUCUGCACUCUGAUAAAAGAAUGUAGAGCUGGAAUUUUAAUUUGAUUAUCAUCCCCAAUCUUCCCAGGCUUUCGCAGACUCUUUUGCUAUCUGGAAACCCAUGUCCACCUCUGACUUCCACUCAAAAUUGCUUUCCUCACAGUCUGACUGCGAGAGUUGUGAAAAAUUGGGAUGUGCUUCUGAGGUGGGCUGUGGAAUGCCA